AUUGAACGCUGGCGGAAUGCUUUACACAUGCAAGUCGAACGGCAGCACGAACUUCGGUCUGGUGGCGAGUGGCGAACGGGUGAGUAACAUAUCGGAACGUAUCCAAUAAUGGGGGAUAACGAGUCAAAAGAUUCGCUAAUACCGCAUACGCCCUACGGGGGAAAGCUGGGGACCUUCGGGCCUGGCGUUAAUGGAGCGGCCGAUAUCUGAUUAGCUAGUUGGUGAGGUAAAGGCUCACCAAGGCGACGAUCAGUAGCUGGUCUGAGAGGACGACCAGCCACACUGGAACUGAGACACGGUCCAGACUCCUACGGGAGGCAGCAGUGGGGAAUUUUGGACAAUGGGCGCAAGCCUGAUCCAGCCAUUCCGCGUGAGUGAAGAAGGCCUUCGGGUUGUAAAGCUCUUUCGCAAGGGAAGAAAACUUAGCCACUAACAUUGGUUGAGGUUGACGGUACCUUGAUAAGAAGCACCGGCUAACUACGUGCCAGCCGCCGCCGUAA
rnacentral:rRNA from 1 species